CGGCGGACGGGUGAGUAAUGCCUAGGAAUCUGCCUGGUAGUGGGGGACAACGUUUCGAAAGGAACGCUAAUACCGCAUACGUCCUACGGGAGAAAGCAGGGGACCUUCUGGCCUUGCGCUAUCAGAUGAGCCUAGGUCGGAUUAGCUAGUUGGUGAGGUAAUGGCUCACCAAGGCGACGAUCCGGAACUGGUCUGAGAGGAUGAUCAGUCACACUGGAACUGAGACNCGGGCCAGACUCCUACGGGAGGCAGCAGUGGGGAAUAUUGGACAAUGGGCGAAAGCCUGAUCCAUCCAUGCCGCGUGUGUGAAGAAGGUCUUCGGAUUGUAAAGCACUUUAAGUUGGGAGGAAGGGCAGUAAGUUAAUACCUUGCUGUUUUGACGUUACCGACAGAAUANGCACCGGCUAACUCUGUGCCAGCAACCGCGGUAAU
rnacentral:rRNA from 1 species